rnacentral:rRNA from 1 species
AUUGAACGCUGGCGGCAGGCCUAACACAUGCAAGUCGAGCGGAUGAAGGGAGCUUGCUCCUGGAUUCAGCGGCGGACGGGUGAGUAAUGCCUAGGAAUCUGCCUGGUAGUGGGGGAUAACGUCCGGAAACGGGCGCUAAUACCGCAUACGUCCUGAGGGAGAAAGUGGGGGAUCUUCGGACCUCACGCUAUCAGAUGAGCCUAGGUCGGAUUAGCUAGUUGGUGGGGUAAAGGCCUACCAAGGCGACGAUCCGUAACUGGUCUGAGAGGAUGAUCAGUCACACUGGAACUGAGACACGGUCCAGACUCCUACGGGAGGAAGCAGUGGGGAAUAUUGGACAAAGGGCGAAAGCCUGAUCCAGCCAUGCCGCGUGUGUGAAGAAGGUCUUCGGAUUGUAAAGCACUUUAAGUUGGGAGGAAGGGCAGUAAGUUAAUACCUUGCUGUUUUGACGUUACCAACAGAAUAAGCACCGGCUAACUUCGUG